AUUACAUGUUUAUGCAGAAACCCAACCAUAUCCAACCGUAUACACCCCCGUACCAACCUUACACCGUGUGGGGAGACAACUCGACCCACCCAACCGCUACACACCACAGAAUUUACAGCAUGGCUGCCAGAACAGAUAAUGUGACAGAGUCACCAGAUACAGAUAAUCGUGGCAGAGCCACCAGAACAGAUAUAUGUGGCAGAGCCACCAGAUCAAAUAUUUGUGGCAUAGCCACCAGAACGCUUC
rnacentral:lncRNA from 1 species